AUAGAAGUAGUGCUGAAUAAAAGAGAACGAAAUCCGUACCUCGAAAAUAGCAAACUCAAAGACUAACGAACCUCGCAAGGGACCAACUAAACUCCCGAACCCCGACUUUAACUUAAACUCCAAUUAUCUCCAUGAUUGCAAUCUGCCCAGACCAAUAAUAUACUGUUUUGACCCUCUAAACGAUGUUCUCUGGAAAAACUCAAAACACGAAAGUCGUAGAGAACGAAAAGACCUUUCUGAAAAGGUAAGGCUCAUCGAAAUCGGAGUUAUAACGAAUUGGGAAUUAAAUAAAACGUCCGCUGAUUCAGAACUCAAAGAAUAAGCAGGAUCUGAUUAAGUUUUGUAAUUUUGAGAACAGUUCGAACAUAAUCUGAGAAAACAUUGUGAACGAAAGUUGUAGGAGAUUGAAAGAGCUUUCCGAAACAUCAAGAAUCGUCGAAAUCCGAUAAGAAUUGAAUUUACUACGAAAUUUACAAGACAGCUGAUUUAUGAGAAUAAAGUCCUGCGAAUUUUUGUAAUAAAAACGAAUAGAAGGUUGGGUGGCUCUCAAAAGUGUAUAUAAAAGAAUGGAGGAAUACAAUCAAUAUAUAGAGUCUUGAAACC
rnacentral:lncRNA from 1 species